CUUGGUCUUGGAGAUUUUGCCACAAUGAUUCUUGACAGGAAAAGCAGGGCCUUUCACGUUUUCGCGUCUUCACGUCGACCACCGUAGUUCUCCUAUACGCUUAGCACACGGGAGAAGUUUCAGUUGGUUGCAAUCUGCAACUCCAUCGCUAGAUGCCGCCAGAUCCUACACACUGCACCUUUAAUGAAUCGUUGUUUAGCCUUACAAUUAUGAAAAAAUAACAUUUAGGAUUUUAUAUCAGGAUAUUAUCAUAGCCAAAAUCAAUAUCUAGUCUUGUAUGGAGUUGAACCAAUUGGUCAAUUAAUUGAUUAACUUAGUUUGCAACAACUUUUCUCAUUUUAAGCAAAAAUGCACUGGUUCCAGCUUCUCAAACGUCAAUCUUGACUGGUUUUCUUAGUGUUCUGUGAUAGUAAAUGAAUGGCUUUGGGUUUUGAACAGUUGGUUAGACAAAAUAAUUUUUUAAUGUGUCAAAUUGGACCUUUUUCAGCAUUUUAUAGACUGUAUAAUUAACUGUUUAAUCAAGAAAACAAUUGACAGAUUAAUGGAAGAUGAAAGUUGCAGCCCUUGUCUCACACAAAUAAUGUAGGUAGUGAUCGAGAGCGCUCUGAAUCUGUCCUUUGUUUUUACUUUAAUCCCACGUGUCAAUUGAGCCAAUCAAAGAGGACUGGUGCCCUAUGCUUUGAGAGACCGGAGGCUGAUCCAGGAUCAGAGUGACAGAAGCCGGCUGAUGAGAAGACACAGGAGAAGCUCGGGGGCCUGAGCCGCUCUGUAACUGCAGCGAUGCCAAGUGGUCGGCGGUUUGAAGAGGACACCUGAGACCAGCGCACCUGGACAAUGAGCUGAGGUCACAUCAUAAUGGCUGAAACAUCACCAUGACAACUGAGCAAACUCCAUCUACUGAUGAAGAGCCUCUCUGAUGAUGAUGAUGAGUCUGACUUGUUUGCAGUACUUACUAUUGCUGGACUUGAGGUCUCUGUGGA